rnacentral:rRNA from 1 species
CACGCCGCGUGCGGGAUGACGGCCUUCGGGUUGUAAACCGCUUUCAGCGCAGACGAAGCGAAAGUGACGGUAUGCGCAGAAGAAGCACCGGCCAACUACGUGCCAGCAGCCGCGGUGAUACGUACGGUGCGAGCGUUGUCCGGAAUUAUUGGGCGUAAAGAGCUUGUAGGCGGUCAGUCGCGUCGAAAGUGAAAACUCAGGGCUUAACCCUGAGCCUGCUUCCGAUACGGGCUGACUAGAGGAAGGUAAGGGAGAAUGGAAUUCCUGGUGGAGCGGUGGAAUGCGCAGAUAUCAGGAGGAACACCAGUGGCGAAGGCGGUUCUCUGGACCUUUCCUGACGCUGAGAAGCGAAAGCGUGGGGAGCAAACAGGCUUCGAUACCCUGGUAGUCCACGCCGUAUAACGGUGGGUACUAGGUGUGGGGAACAUUCCACGUUCUCCGUGCCGUAGCUAACGCAUUAACGCUACCCCGCCGGGGGAGUACGGCCGCAAGGCUAAAACUCAAAUGAACUUGACGGAAAUGGUUGGGUU